rnacentral:tRNA from 1 species
GCUACGGUGGUUUAGCAGUUAGAACGCUGGCCUUGUAAUCCUGGGGUCUCGGGUUCGAUUCCCGGCGGUGCCC